GAUGAACGCUGGCGGCGUGCUUAAUACAUGCAAGUCGAGCGAAAAGACGAGGAGCUUGCUCCUCUGACGUUAGCGGAGGACGGGUGUGUAACACGUGGAUCACCUACCUAUAAGACUGGGAUAACUUCGGGAAACCGGAGCUAAUACCGGAUAAUAUAUUGAACCGAAUGGUUCAAUAGUGAAAGACGGUUUUGCUGUCUCUUAUAGAUGGUUCCGCGCUGCAUUAGCUAGUUGGUAAGGUACCGGCUUACCAAGGGGACGAUGCGUAGCCGACCUGCGAGGGUGAUCGGCCACACGGGAGCUGAGACACGGUCCAGACUCCUACGAGAGGCAGCAGUAGGGAAUCUUCCGCAAUGGGCGAAAGCCUGACGGAGCAACGCCGCGUGAGUUAUGAAGAUCUUCGGAUCGUAAAACUCUGUUAUUAGUUAAGAACAAAUUUGUAAGUAACUAUGCACGUCUUGACGGUACCUAGUCAGAAAGCCACGGCUAACUACGUG
rnacentral:rRNA from 1 species